GAUGAACGCUGGCGGCGUGCCUAAUACAUGCAAGUCGAGCGAACAGAUGAGGAGCUUGCUCCUCUGACGUUAGCGGCGGACGGGUGAGUAACACGUGGAUAACCUACCUAUAAGACUGGGAUAACUUCGGGAAACCGGAGCUAAUACCGGAUAAUAUAUUGAACCGCAUGGUUCAAUAGUGAAAGACGGUUUUGCUGUCACUUAUAGAUGGAUCCGCGCCGCAUUAGCUAGUUGGUAAGGUAACGGCUUACCAAGGCAACGAUGCGUAGCCGACCUGAGAGGGUGAUAGGCCACACUGGAACUGAGACACGGUCCAGACUCCUACGGGAGGCAGCAGUAGGGAAUCUUCCGCAAUGGGCGAAAGCCUGACGGAGCAACGCAGCGUGAGUGAUGAAGGUCUUCGGAUCGUAAAACUCUGUUAUUAGGGAAGAACAAAUGUGUAAGUAACUAUGCACGUCUUGACGGUACCUAAUCAGAAAGCCACGGCUAACUACGUG
rnacentral:rRNA from 1 species